rnacentral:ncRNA from 1 species
UCACGGGGUGCUUUUUACACUUAGUAAAAGGCUGAGAUUAUACCCAGCUCUUCUCCAGAAGGGCAAACCUGAUCCGGAUAAUGCCGGCGUAGGGAUAUUAGGGA